UACGUAAGGACCGAGCGUUGUCCGGAAUCAUUGGGCGUAAAGGGUACGUAGGCGGAUAAGCAAGUUAGAAGUAAAAUCCUAUAGCUCAACUAUAGUAAGCAUUUAAAACUGCUCAUCUUGAGUUAUGGAAAGGAAAGUGGAAUUCCUAGUGUAGCGGUGAAAUGCGUAGAUAUUAGGAGGAAUACCGGUGGCGAAGGCGGCUUUCUGGACUUAAACUGACGCUGAGGCACGAAAGCGUGGGUAGCAAACAGG
rnacentral:rRNA from 1 species